rnacentral:rRNA from 1 species
GCGGUACCUGUUAGUAGGAGGGCCUCCCCCCAGACGCCGUUGUCUAACGCCCGCUCCUCCCCGUGCGUGCAUAGUACCAUACUCACUUGUCCCUUGUGGACUAACCUGAAUGAAUGCAUCCACAAUAUACUGUCUCCUUCUUCUAUUCAAUGAAACUAAUCUCCCCGCCCAAAAACAGGCAUGAAAAAAUAAGACAAAAAAACCCUAUCUAGAGAGAU